AUUGAACGCUGGCGGCAUGCCUUACACAUGCAAGUCGAACGGCAGCACGGGAGCAAUCCUGGUGGCGAGUGGCGAACGGGUGAGUAAUGUAUCGGAACGUACCUUUCAGUGGGGGAUAACGUAGCGAAAGUUACGCUAAAUACCGCAUAUUCUGUGAGCAGGAAAGCAGGGGGAUCGCAAGACCUUGCGCUGAUUGAGCGGCCGAUAUCAGAUUAGCUAGUUGGUGAGGUAAAGGCUCACCAAGGCGACGAUCUGUAGCGGGUCUGAGAGGAUGAUCCGCCACACUGAAACUGAGACACGGUCCAGACUCCUACGGGAGGCAGCAGUGGGGAAUUUUGGACAAUGGGCGCAAGCCUGAUCCAGCCAUGCCGCGUGAGUGAAGAAGGCCUCGG
rnacentral:rRNA from 1 species